rfam:Picea glauca, whole genome shotgun sequence.
GGGUGCCAUCAUACCAAUGUUAAUGUACCGGAUCCCAUCAAAACUCCGUAGUUAAGCGCACUUGGGCUAUAGUAGUACUGGGAUGGGUGACCUCCCAGGAAGUCCUAGUGUUUCAGCCU